rnacentral:tRNA from 1 species
AAUAAUUUAGUUUAGCUAAAACACUUGAUUGUCAAUCAAGAAAACCACCCAAAAGUAGUAAUUAUU